AUGAACGCUAGCGGCAGGCCUAACACAUGCAAGUCGAGGGGCAUCACGAGGUAGCAAUACUUUGGUGGCGACCGGCGCACGGGUGCGUAACGCGUAUGUAACCUACCUAUAACAGGGGCAUAACACUGAGAAAUUGGUACUAAUUCCCCAUAAUAUUCGGAGAGGCAUCUCUCCGGGUUGAAAACUCCGGUGGUUAUAGAUGGACAUGCGUUGUAUUAGCUAGUUGGUGAGGUAACGGCUCACCAAGGCAACGAUACAUAGGGGGACUGAGAGGUUAACCCCCCACACUGGUACUGAGACACGGACCAGACUCCUACGGGAGGCAGCAGUGAGGAAUAUUGGUCAAUGGACGCAAGUCUGAACCAGCCAUGCCGCGUGCAGGAAGACGGCUCUAUGAGUUGUAAACUGCUUUUGUACGAGGGUAAACUCACCUACGUGUAGGUGACUGAAAGUAUCGUACGAAUAAGGAUCGGCUAACUCCGUGCCAGCAGCCGCGGUAAUACGGAGGAUUCAAGCGUUAUCCGGAUUUAUUGGGUUUAAAGGGUGCGUAGGCGGUUUGAUAAGUUAGAGGUGAAAUCCCGGGGCUUAACUCCGGAACUGCCUCUAAUACUGUUAGACUAGAGAGUAGUUGCGGUAGGCGGAAUGUAUGGUGUAGCGGUGAAAUGCUUAGAGAUCAUACAGAACACCGAUUGCGAAGGCAGCUUACCAAACUAUAUCUGACGUUGAGGCACGAAAGCGUGGGGAGCAAACAGGAUUAGAUACCCUGGUAGUCCACGCAGUAAACGAUGAUAACUCGUUGUCGGCGAUACACAGUCGGUGACUAAGCGAAAGCGAUAAGUUAUCCACCUGGGGAGUACGUUCGCAAGAAUGAAACUCAAAGGAAUUGACGGGGGCCCGCACAAGCGGAGGAACAUGUGGUUUAAUUCGAUGAUACGCGAGGAACCUUACCCGGGCUUGAAUUGCAACUGAAUGAUGUGGAGACAUGUCAGCCGCAAGGCAGUUGUGAAGGUGCUGCAUGGUUGUCGUCAGCUCGUGCCGUGAGGUGUCGGGUUAAGUCCCAUAACGAGCGCAACCCCUACCGUUAGUUGCCAUCAGGUCAAGCUGGGCACUCUGGCGGGACUGCCGGUGUAAGCCGAGAGGAAGGUGGGGAUGACGUCAAAUCAGCACGGCCCUUACGUCCGGGGCUACACACGUGUUACAAUGGUAGGUACAGAGGGUCGCUACUCCGUGAGGAGAUGCCAAUCUCGAAAGCCUAUCUCAGUUCGGAUUGGAGGCUGAAACCCGCCUCCAUGAAGUUGGAUUCGCUAGUAAUCGCGCAUCAGCCAUGGCGCGGUGAAUACGUUCCCGGGCCUUGUACACACCGCCCGUCAAGCCAUGGAAGCUGGGGGUGCCUGAAGUUCGUGACCGCAAGGAGCGACCUAGGGCAAAACCGGUAACUGGGGCU
rnacentral:rRNA from 1 species